rnacentral:rRNA from 1 species
CGCGUUGGGAGCUCUCCAUAUGGUCGACCUGCAGGCGGCCGCGAAUUCACUAGUGAUUCGUAUUACCGCGGCUGCUGGCACGUAGUUAGCCGGUGCUUAUUCUUCAGGUACCGUCAUUAACCCCCUGUAUUAGAAGGAGUCGUUUCUUCCCUGACAAAAGAGCUUUACAACCCGAAGGCCUUCUUCACUCACGCGGCAUUGCUGGAUCAGGGUUGCCCCCAUUGUCCAAAAUUCCCCACUGCUGCCUCCCGUAGGAGUCUGGGCCGUGUCUCAGUCCCAGUGUGGCUGAUCAUCCUCUCAGACCAGCUAAGGAUCGUCGGCUUGGUAGGCCUUUACCCCACCAACUACCUAAUCCUACGCGGGCUCAUCCCUGGCCGAUAAAUCUUUGGUCCGAAGACAUCAUCCGGUAUUAGCAGUCAUUUCUAACUGUUAUUCCGAAGCCAAGGGCAGAUUCCCACGCGUUACGCACCCGUGCGCCACUAACCCCGAAGGUCUCGUUCGACUUGCAUGUAUUAGGCAUGCCGCCAGCGUUCGUUCUGAGCCAUGAUCAAACUAAUCGAAUUCCCG